rnacentral:lncRNA from 1 species
GUUUGACCAUGAAAAAGUAGCGUAUUACAGAAUAAUUUAUAUUUGGUUGAAUAUCUAUUUUUUGAAAAAAAUAUGUAAAAUAUGGGUUGUGCUCUUAGUAAAGGAAAAAAUCGUGCUUUAUUCUAUCUAAAAGUUUAAGGGAGCUUUCGAGAAAAAAAAUUUAUCUUAAUUGGAUAUUAAUUUUUUUCAUAUCCUACAUGAAUUUUUCUUUCUAAUUGAAUGUGGGGAUCUUAUUCCUAUGGAAAAACUUUAAUUAAAUAUGAGAUAAUUCUCUAUUAUUUUGUUGACCAUAUUUUUCCCCUUCUUUUCCUGUGUCGCGAACCAAAUGAGUCCUAAAUGGAUGGACUGAUGGAGGGUGGCAUCGGUUUUUUCUCCCAAUAUAUUUCCUAGUUUUCUAAUAUACUUCAUAACUUCUCUAUAUUUAUAUGAUUUUUUUCU